CAAGGUAGUGGCUAUUGGUUUUCUGGCUUCUUCUUCUGAUUUUUCUCAUAUAUUCCAUGGAUUCAUUUGAUUGAUUCACUAUGAGAUCCCACAUCGGUUGGGGAGGAGAACGAAACAUUCUUUAUAAGGAUGUGGAAACCUCUCCCUAGUAGACGCGUUUUAAAAACUUAUGAGGAGUACAUUUCUUUCCAUGAAUAUACCUCAGCAUUCUUCAGCAUAUAUCACAUAUUCACUCCAUUCACACUAUGAAUUUACUUUAUGAAUAAUGCUUUUGAAGCUAAUUGGUACC